CUGCAGUGUUGUUUGAGGGAUUGCAUGACAAGACACAAAGUGAGGCAGAUUUUCUAUUGCUCUUUUGAGUUUGCAACAACUCAUUUGCCAGUGCAUUUGAUGAAAGGAAGUUCCCAGGAAAGUAAAAACAGCCUAAAGUGAUAACCUGCUCCAGCGUUUAGCCGAACAACCCCCCAACCUGAAUCAUUUUGCGGAGAAAGAAAUGAAGCAAGUGCACAGGCAAGAAGGCUGUAAAUGAAGAUACAGAUUAUUAUACUGAAGGAGUGAACAGCACUGUUCAAGCUAAAAAUGGUUGCUGCAGAGCCCUGUCUCAUUCAAUGUACACAUGACAAAUUCAGCUAGCUACAUUAGCCACACAUUCAUGAGCAGUACAGCAUACCUUGACUCGGAAUGCUGGUAAAGCGUCAUGGCUAUCUUAGUACAUUAAGUAUCAGACCUAGUACUAGAAUACAAGUCUUUCAGAUGCACAGCCAAUCUCUGAUCCAUUAGAAAACAAGACCUGCCUUGCCUGCCAAGUCACUGAAUUGCUUUGUACAUAAGUUACUACAGCUGAAACAUUUGCCUAUUAAUGUUGUUUUGCAUCUUCUCUAAGAACUUUAUAAAAAGUUGUGUCUAACUCUCAAAGAACUUUAUAAAAAGGUGUAUUUGUGUUAGCACCCAUUUUACACUUGGCUUAACU